rnacentral:rRNA from 1 species
CACGUAGGGGACGAGCGUUGUCCGGAUUCAAUGGGCGUAAAGCGCGCGUAGGCGGCUCGGAAAGUCGGUCGUGAAAUGCCGGGGCUCAACCCCGGGACUGCGUCCGAUACUCCCGAGCUGGAGGCAGGUAGGGGAGAUCGGAAUUCCUGGUGUAGCGGUGAAAUGCGCAGAUAUCAGGAGGAACACCCGUGGCUAAGGCGGCUCUCUAGUACGUGACUGAUGCUGAGACGCGAAAGCGUGGGGAGCGAACAGG